rnacentral:rRNA from 1 species
GUCCACGCCCUAACGAUGUCAACUAGGUGUUGGUGGGUAAACCAUUAGUACCGAAGCUAACGCAUGAAGUUGACCGCCUGGGGAGUACGGCCGCAAGGUUAAACUACAAAGGAAUUGACGGGGACCCGCACAAGCGGUGGAUGAUGUGGAUUAAUUCGACGCAACGCGAAAAACCUUAACCUACCCUUGACAUGUCAGGAACUUUCCAGAGAUGGAUUGGUGCCCGAAAGGGAACCUGAACACAGGUGCUGCAUGGCUGUCGU